GGUUACUAGGCAAUGUGGUGUUCAGGGCGUUCCGCAGAGACGCUGCCCCAUCCUAAGUCCACCAUUGAAUAUGGCUUUGGACGUGGCCCAUUGAGGGUGUAAGGCCCGUGGGGGUGGGGGUUCGUUUGGCCAGUGUCUCUCUGGGUAGACCUUGGAGUCGGGUUGUUUGUGAAUGCAGCCCAAAGUGGGUGGUAAACUCCAUCCAAGGCUAAAUACUUGCACGAGUCCGAUAGCGAACAAGUACCGUGAGGGAAAGUUGAAAAGUACUUUGAAGAGAGAGUAAACAGUGCGUGAAACCGCUCAGAGGUAAACGGGUGGAGUUGAACUGCAAUCUCUGUGAAUUCAGCUGGUGAGUCUGGUUGGGCUUGGCUAAGUCUAUCGAUCUCCGUGGUCUGACUAUUAUUAGGUCCUCGUCUUCGGGCGGGGAUGCGCGAUGCUCCUACCAUGUGCUGCGCGCUGCGGAGUUUCGGGUUAGCUUGCCAGUGCACUUUUGCAGAGUGUUCACCACGACCGGCAUCGCUGUCUGACUGUUCUGGUUAAACCUUCCUUGUAUUGUCCCUGUGGCUUUGCAUGGUUGGGAUGGCAGGUAGCUCGUUGGUGAUUGUAGCUUGCUGCAGUUGUCUUCGGGUGUUAUCGCUGACCUUUAUGGUUCUGUGCAGUAUGUCGGAGACGGCGGCUAGUUGUGUGUGCGUGCGUACCGAUCGCAUGGGCAUGCUCGGGUCUGAUUGUCAUGUCGCUCGCACAAAGCGGGCCGGGCAGUGGCUUGGGUGUGUUCUGUGUGUGGUUGCGUGCGUGUCACUUUACAGGGCCAAUAGUCUGUGGUGUAGUGGUAGAUUAUCCACCUGACCCGUCUUGAAACACGGACCAAGGAGAGUAACAUGUGCGCGAGUCAUUGGGCGUAACGAAACCCACAGGCGAAGUGAAAGUAAAGGCUUGGCUUGUCCUUGCUGAGGUGAGAUCCUGCUGUUUCCUCGCGCGGUUCUACCAAGCUUCGAGCAGUAGGCGCAUCACCGGCCCGUCUCAUGACGUGGACACAUUCUCUUCGGA
rnacentral:rRNA from 1 species